ACAAGCUACUAGCCACCACUCUUUCUUUCUCUCUCUAUAUGUGUUCCUUGCUCGCUUGCUUGCGCUGUAUCUUCUCCCAAAUAAAAAUUAGAUUUUUUCUUGUAUUUAGUAAAAUGACAAAUCGUUCUAUAUAUAUUUUGUGUGUUUUUUUUUUUUGUACAUUUUUGCUCGGUGUUUUAGGGUUUGGCUUGAUCGGGGUUUUGGGAUUUUUCUUGUGAAUUCGAUCUCAAGUUUCUGGUCCCUGAUUGUGAAGGGUUUUAACUAGCGUGCGUUUAAUGCCAUAGGGUAUAUGGAUUGCUAUUUUUUUAAAACGCGUUUUAACAUUAUUUACUCUUUUCCCAAUCAGUUUUAUUUUUUUUCGCUUGAGUUUUUUCUUUGUAUUUUAUUGAGAGAUUGGGAUUUAUUGAAAUUGGUUUUAUUUUUUUGCAUUUCCUCCUACAUUUGGUAUUGGGAUUAACGUUUAAUUUAGUUAAGUUGAGUAGUUGUACAUCCAAAAUGUGUAACCUGUUACACUUUCAGCAUAAAUGCUUGCAAACUUGCAAUAUAACAUGAUAAAAUUGAAGAUAUUGACAAAUGGACGCUGGUUUGCUCCCUUCUGUUGCAGAAUAUAUGUUUUGUACCCCUAAUUUUGUGAUUACUUCCUCCUUUUCUUUCCUCAUUUUUACAAAGUGAUAUUUGUUUAAUUUGUUGUGAAUUAAUUUUACUUGACCUAGGGCCAAAACCUUCUGAGUUGUAUGGAAAACAUGGAAAGAUAGAGAAAUUUUUGUUAAUUUGUUGUGAACUAAUUUUUCUCAAUUGUAGGGCCAAAACCUUCUGAGUUGUAUGGAAAAUACACAUGGAAGAUAGAGAAACUUUCACAGAUUAACAAAAGAGAACUUUCUAGUAAUGCAUUUGAGGUCGGCGGCUACAAAUGGUAUGGCUUUGCAUGUGUUUGUUUUCUCAUGCAUUCCGUUAUUUGGUCUGCAUUAUGCACCUUGGUUGCUGAAAGUCACUGUUACGUGGAAAUGCUGCCUUUUGUUUCUUUGUGUUGCCAACCGUGACAAACUUCUUCCAGGUUGGAGUCAUUUUGCCCAGUGUUCUUUAGUGUUUUGGGCUACACGAUGCUCCGAAUGCUGUUAGUUAUGCUUUCGUGCUUUCUGGUUGGGAAUGGAUCCAAAUGCUCGCCGCCGAAUGUCUAGGGCGAAACUGAUGUAAUUCUGAAAGUAGUUGUAAAGCAUUUCUUUAUAGCGAAGGAGGUCACAUCUACUUUGGUAAUGGAUUCCUUGUAUAGUGGAUUGAAGGCUCUUGAAGGCCAAACUAAGAGCAAGAAGGGAAGGGUGAAAUUGUUGGACACUGAAGAAAUGCCAGCUCCAAUUGUUCGUGUGGAGAAAGAUAUGUUUGUAUUGGUGGAUGAUGUUCUGCUACUGCUUGAGGGGGCUGCCAUGGAACCAUUACCUCCAAAAGACGAAAAGGGGCUACAGAAUCGUACAAAGGUGGGUUGGGUUAGGACAUCAGUAUUUAUGCUGAACUCUUUGUGAUAGAUUCUACUUAUAUACAUUGGUGGCUAGUGGAGGGAUCCAGUUAUAUACUGGGUUUAAGUUGUCUGAUGCAAUUAAAUAAAUGUUACUACCAGUCAGUAUUUACUUGUGUUGCAUUUCAGCUGUAGAAUGACCUUUUAGCUAUUCGGCACUUUAGCUCAUGCAGUAUGUAAAUCUUUAUCAACUUUGUUGGCUUUGUUUACAAGUAUUAAACUUCAAUGCCAUGCUAUUACAAGCGGUAGGUUAGUCUUUUCAUUCCUGUAUUAGUGUGCGGAUUAUGUUAAGUGAAGUAAUGGGUUUUCCCAUAUGUUUGAAUUGUAAUUCAUUAAUUAAGAUUGUAGAGUGAUU